UACAGAGGUCCCAAGCGUUACUGAGAAUCACUGGGUUUAAAGGGUGCGUAGGUGGUCCGUUAAGUCAGGUGUGAAAUCUCCGCGCUCAACGCGGAGCGGCCACCUGAUACUGCUGUGACUCGAGUCCGGUAGGGGAGUGUGGAAUUCCCGGUGUAGCGGUGAAAUGCGCAGAUAUCGGGAGGAACACCAGUAGCGAAGGCGGCACUCUGGGCCGUGACUGACGCUGAGGAGCGAAAGCGUGGGUAGCAAACAGG
rnacentral:rRNA from 1 species